rnacentral:rRNA from 1 species
UACGGGGGGGGCAAGCGUUGUUCGGAAUUACUGGGCGUAAAGGGCUCGUAGGCGGCCAACUAAGUCCGACGUGAAAUCCCAAGGCUUAACCUUGGAACUGCGUCGGAUACUGGAUGGCUUGAAUUCGGGAGAGGGAUGCAGGAUUCCAGGUGUAGCGGUGAAAUGCGUAGAUAUCUGGAGGAAUACCGGUGGCGAAGGCGGCAUCCUGGACCGACAUUGACGCUGAUGAGCGAAAGCUAGGGGAGCAAACGGG